AUGAAGUACGAUGGAACAUGCAUACCUGAGUGGAAGUUCUCUGGUUUUCUCGUCGUCGGCAUCAUUGUUGAAGAAGUGCCAGACUUCUCUUCGGUAGCAAAAUCAUGCUCCGAAUUUUUCUCUUCUAGAACUCCUAGUCUUCCUCUUCUUCAAACUCUAUCAACGCCAACUUUGUGUAUCUCUUCUACAAAUAUUCAUCUUCUCUGA